rnacentral:rRNA from 1 species
UUCUAUUAGAUUUUAUUAAUAGUAUAAUCUGCUCAAUGAUAUUAAAUAGCCGCUAUUACUGUGCUAAGGUAGCAUAAUCAUUUGUCUUUUAAUUAAAGACUAGAACAAAAGAUUGAACAUUUUAAUUAAUAUAUUUAAAUUAAUUAAUUAAAUUUAUUUUAAAUGUAAAAAAACAUUUAUAAAUUAGAAAGACGAUAAGACCCUAUUAAACUUAACUUAAGUUAAACUGGGGCAGUUAAUUAAUUAUUACUUUAAUUUAAAUUAAAAAAUAAAUAGAUCCUAUAAAAUAGAUUAAAUGAUCAAGUUACUAUAGGGAUAACAGCGUAAUAUUAAUUAAAAGAUCUUAUUUAAAUAAAAGAUUACGACCUCGAUGUUGAAUUAAUAACCUAUAUAGUUGCAAUAAACAAUAAAGG